rnacentral:rRNA from 1 species
CGGUCUUGCUGUCACUUAUAGAUGGAUCCGCGCUGCAUUAGCUAGUUGGUAAGGUAACGGCUUACCAAGGCAACGAUGCAUAGCCGACCUGAGAGGGUGAUCGGCCACACUGGAACUGAGACACGGUCCAGACUCCUACGGGAGGCAGCAGUAGGGAAUCUUCCGCAAUGGGCGAAAGCCUGACGGAGCAACGCCGCGUGAGUGAUGAAGGUCUUCGGAUCGUAAAACUCUGUUAUUAGGGAAGAACAUAUGUGUAAGUAACUGUGCACAUCUUGACGGUACCUAAUCAGAAAGCCACGGCUAACUACGUGCCAGCAGCCGCGGUAAUACGUAGGUGGCAAGCGUUAUCCGGAAUUAUUGGGCGUAAAGCGCGCGUAGGCGGUUUUUUAAGUCUGAUGUGAAAGCCCACGGCUCAACCGUGGAGGGUCAUUGGAAACUGGAAAACUUGAGUGCAGAAGAGGAAAGUGGAAUUCCAUGUGUAGCGGUGAAAUGCGCAGAGAUAUGGAGGAACACCAGUGGCGAAGGCGACUUUCUGGUCUGUAACUGACGCUGAUGUGCGAAAGCGUGGGGAUCAAACAGGAUUAGAUACCCUGGUAGUCCACGCCGUAAACGAUGAGUGCUAAGUGUUAGGGGGUUUCCGCCCCUUAGUGCUGCAGCUAACGCAUUAAGCACUCCGCCUGGGGAGUACGACCGCAAGGUUGAAACUCAAAGGAAUUGACGGGGACCCGCACAAGCGGUGGAGCAUGUGGUUUAAUUCGAAGCAACGCGAAGAACCUUACCAAAUCUUGACAUCCUUUGACAACUCUAGAGAUAGAGCAUUCCCCUUCGGGGGACAAAGUGACAGGUGGUGCAUGGUUGUCGUCAGCUCGUGUCGUGAGAUGUUGGGUUAAGUCCCGCAACGAGCGCAACCCUUAAGCUUAGUUGCCAUCAUUAAGUUGGGCACUCUAAGUUGACUGCCGGUGACAAACCGGAGGAAGGUGGGGAUGACGUCAAAUCAUCAUGCCCCUUAUGAUUUGGGCUACACACGUGCUACAAUGGACAAUACAAAGGGCAGCGAAACUGCGAGGUCAAGCAAAUCCCAUAAAGUUGUUCUCAGUUCGGAUUGUAGUCUGCAACUCGACUACAUGAAGCUGGAAUCGCUAGUAAUCGUA